UUAAUUGUACAGGUCAAGUGCAAUAAGGCGCGGAUGGAUUGCACGGAGGUGGCUGGAAUUUUCUAAACAACCGGCAGUUUCAAUUCCUGAUCAGAAUAGUCUAUAGGAUCUAUUAACGUCUGUUGCAUGCGAGACAGCCCGACCUUGGGCCCGCUGUAUACUGUAAAAGAUGCAUUCCCUAGUCUCCAGGCAAGCAACGUUUGGAGCUGCAGCAACAGCCUCGAAGAGGAGAGAACCUAAACUGGGAGCUGUGCCUCGUAUUCCGUGGAUCAUUAGGAGAAAUACAAUCAAAGGAAGGUACUAAUUGAUAUCGGGAGAGAGAGAUAUUCUCACCUCCACCCACAAGGAAGUGGCGUUCUUGAUCCUUCUUCAGUACUUCAAGGUUGACUGUGCAGCUAAAUCAAACUUUUUUUUACUGCUG